AGGAGCAUGAGGUAGAAAGGCGUUCCAUCACACAAACGAUGCCACGGUGAAGGAGACUCACACGGCUUGUGGGAAGAGCGAGAGCCAAUCAGCAAUCUUCCAGGAUCAGCCACGCUUCCAGAAAUGCAACCCGAAGAGACAGCUCUCUCUCUCUCCUGUGGGCCUAAAGCAAUCACCACUGUCCUUAUAAAAGCAUGGCGAGGGAGACUGAACUGGGAAGAGAAGGCCACCAGAGGCAGAGGCUGGAGUGACACCGCCACAAACCAAUGCUUGCCACCAGAAACUGGAAGGGGCAGGGGACAGAUUCUCCCCUAGGGCCUCCAGACGUGGCAUGGCCCUGCGGACACCUUGAUUUCAGACGUCUGGCCUUCAGGAAGGAAAAACUUGCUCUUGUUUUAAGCAAUUUACGGCCACUGGUUCCAACAGCCCUAGGACCUGACACAGUAUCCCGUAGGCAUCUGAUUCCAGCCAGCACCAGGAAAUUCAUUAUUGCCUCCCCUCACCUGCUCUCCCACCACCAGUAUCUGUUUAUCAGCCGCUCAACUCAGUUACUGCAGCCCAGCAGUUGUUUUGACCCACAACGGCCCCCACCCCCCAACACACACCCUGGGAGGGGAGAGGCUGGGGAUAGAGUCACACUGGAUGGAACUGGGGAGUUUCUGGGUUCAAAUUAGCAAGAUUUCUGCCUUUUUGUCCCUAUGCUUUCAACUCCCCAUAAAGAACAUGCCUCCCCUCACAGGGUCCCCACCUGACAAAGCCUGGGCCCCCUUCCUCUCAGCCUUCAGGGUAGU